AGUCCGGUGACCGAGUGGCCAGGUCGCGGUCUGCAAAACCGUGUACACGGGUUCGAAUCCCGUCCGGACUUCCA
rnacentral:tRNA from 1 species